GAUGAACGCUGGCGGCGUGCCUAAUACAUGCAAGUCGAGCGAACAGAUAAGGAGCUUGCUCCUUUGACGUUAGCGGCGGACGGGUAAGUAACACGUGGGUAACCUACCUAUAAGACUGGGAUAACUUCGGGAAACCGGAGCUAAUACCGGAUAACAUUUGGAACCGCAUGGUUCUAAAGUGAAAGAUGGUUUUGCUAUCACUUAUAGAUGGACCCGCGCCGUAUUAGCUAGUUGGUAAGGUAACGGCUUACCAAGGCGACGAUACGUAGCCGACCUGAGAGGGUGAUCGGCCACACUGGAACUGAGACACGGUCCAGACUCCUACGGGAGGCAGCAGUAGGGAAUCUUCCGCAAUGGGCGAAAGCCUGACGGAGCAACGCCGCGUGAGUGAUGAAGGGUUUCGGCUCGUAAAACUCUGUUAUUAGGGAAGAACAAAUGUGUAAGUAACUGUGCACGUCUUGACGGUACCUAAUCAGAAAGCCACGGCUAACUACGUG
rnacentral:rRNA from 1 species